UAAAAAAUAUAUAUUUAUUAUAUUCGGGCCGGGUCAAGCCGGGCCCGGGCCAAAAAGUGGUGCCCGAGGCCUGGCCCGUUUUCUAAACGGGCCUCAUUUUUUUGCCCAAGCUCAUAUUUCGGGUCUAUAUUUUUACCCAAACCCUCCCAUAUUUCAGCCGGACCGGGCCGAGCCAUCGGGCCGGGCCGGCCACCCGGCCCAUGAACACCUCUAGUACUGACCCAUCAUAUACUUGUAAGAGCGUUUAGGCUGCAAGGGGUCUGAUCAAUUUGGGGUUGGGCUGGCGAGUGGGCUUCAAGUCUAAUAUCAGAAUUUGGGAGGAUGUAUAGGUUCCUGGCCUGCCAGAACGAAAAUUACAAAGUGUAGACGGGAACUCGUUAGUUAGGCUAGUGUCUGAAUUGAUUAAUCGUCAAACAAGGCAGUGGGAUGAGCAACAACUUACCAUGCAUUCGAGUGAAGAGAUUGCUGAGAGGGUACGGUGUAUCCCUAUUGUUGGGAAUCUAUAAGAGGACAUGGUAGUUUGGGGGGAAGAGUCGUCGGACGAUUUUACCGUAAGGAGCGGCUAUAAGAUCCUACUCUGGAGUGAUAUCUCACUUGAGCCUACUGAUAAUUAUGGUAAUUAUACAAAUUUCUUUAAGAAACUCAGGCAAAUCAAUCUACCAGAGAAAAUAAAAAUUACAGCAUGGCAAAUUUUUAAAAAUUACAUCCCUAGAUACUCUAAUUUGUGUAAUAAGAGGCUGCGGAGUUAAGCAAUGUGUCCAAAAUAUACAAGAGAUGUCGAGACCUCAGAGCAUAUCUUUAGAGAAUGUCUUUCUGUCGAGGAAAUAUAGAGAAGGUUAGAUUUGAAAUGGCCUGAUGAUAUUGCUAAUGUAUCUUUGCAGGAUUGGCUUACUCAUAUUGUUUCCACGUUCCCGAUUACUACAUGUAGAAUUGUGGUAUGUGCUCUAUGGUUUAUUUGGUCUACAAGGAACAUGUUGAUUCAUGAUAAGGUGAUUCUAUUAUCUCAGGACAUAUUGAAAAGGGUUGAGUCCUACAUUAAAGAAGUCGAUGCGAUUCAGUAGAGUUACCUGUUCGAAGGGUUGAGUAUGAGCGGCGGAGGCCCCUGAGGGAUCCUUUUCUUAAAAUAAAUUUUGACUCAACAUUUCAAGGGAAGGAUAGGAGAUCAUAUAUAGGGAUUUUUAUUAGAAAUGGGAGAGGUCAAGUGGUAGGCUCAAGAGCAAUUGUAAACUGCCACAUACCUACGGGUUUUGCAGCGGAGGCUCUUACAUGUCUCUAGGCAGUGAGUUUGGCGAUUGACUUAGGGAUCCAAGAGGAGAUGCUAGAAGGGGAUGCUCUGUCGGUGAUUAAAAAGAUGAAAUCCUGCUGUGAUGAUGGGUCGGUUAUAAGGGCCUAUAUAUAUGAUGCAAAGUUAAAAGUAAAGGGUUUCAAAAAAUGUUUAUUCAUACGUGUUCCCAGGGAUGCAAAAUAAAGUUGCACAUAUAUUAGCUAAAAAGGGGUUGAUGAGGGGUGGGAGUACUUAUUUGGGAGGGUGUGUAUCGGACUUUGUGAGGGAUGCGAUGGAGAACAACUGGUCCGGCAUGCAGAUGGAGGAAGGGGGAAGAAAUGGUAGGUGUCGUCUCUGAUAGAAUCGCAUUGGGUGAUGAAAUUAAGUCCCUUGAGAGGGGUCUCGGAGGCGUAUGAAGGUGAGGGGGGGGGGGGAGGGGGGGAAGGAAGGGGGUUUAGUUGUCGGACAAGGAAAUGACAGGUUUGGAAGUGGGGGAGGUUAUUGAGGGCUGCUGUUAUCAGGGGUGGGGUUACGAGGUCCGGGGUUGUGGCUGGGUGGGAUGGUUCAAUGAAGGUGGGUUACUUGAGGCGGUGAUGGGUUGCUGAGUUUCUUCGAGUUUCCGAUGAAGUUUCAAGGCAUCUCCGUUAUAAGAAGGAGAGGUGCACGACGUGAUUAAACUAGAAAUAAAAGGUUGUCGUUUGGAUUCCAUGGUACUGCUCAUAGGACAGGAAAAGAGACCAUGAAUAUGGCUUUAGGGAUUGAAAGAGUUUCAGAAUACUCUUCUGAAUGGAUGCUAGCUCAUUGAUGGGUUGUUUUUAUUUUGUUUGUUCAGUUUUGUUUUUGUUUGGAUUUGAAUUAUUCCUCAUCGUCUGAUUUCGUUCAUUUUAUUAUUUUAUUAUUAUAAAUAAAAUAACCCAGUUUCCCUUAAAAAAAUAUGCGAUGAAAAUAGAUAUUUUAAAAAAUAGCAAUUAAAAUAUAACGGGUUUUUUACUGGAAUAUAUUAAAAAAAUUAAAUAUCGAAAUAAAUUGUCAGAUGAAUUAAUUACCGAAAUUGUAUGUUUUUUUAACGGUUCCUAUCUGACAGCUGCGAAUGAAUUUUUUAUAUUAAUUUUUUUUCUUUUUUGGUUUAAAUAAAAUAUUUUUUUUAUUAAAAAUAUUUAAAUAUAAAUAUAGGUAAAAAUACGGUUAACGGGUCAAAAUACGAGUAAAAAACGGGUCAAUGGGUCGCGUCUGUCAGAUAGGAGCCACUAAUUGCGCCUGACAAAUAGACACCAAUGCCCAUGCUACUGCCUCUGUCCCUUUCACCAUGGUGUUGUCCCUUCCACCAGGCUAUUGUCCCUUCAAUGGGAAAAAAUUACAAAUGGGAGACCUUAUAAGUAUGGUCCCCCAAACCCAUGUAUCAACUGGAAAAGAGAAAGAAAAGAGAAAAAGGAGAAGAAGAAAGGUAAUGUAUUAUUUUAGUAAAUAAUUUUGUUUACAAUUUAAAGAGUUUAAUUAAGAUAUUG
rnacentral:lncRNA from 1 species